AGCACGAGGAGGCCGUGCUGGCCGUGGCCUUCCACCCCCGGCGCGCCCUCAGCGCCAGCGCCGGCGCCGACGCCCUCGCCAAGGUCUUCGUGUGACGGCCCCGCCCCUGGGGGUGGCACCGGGGGGCACCGGGGGGCCUCCUGAGAGCACCUGGAGGGACCUGGUUUGGUGGCACCGCUGGGACUCGGUCACCUGGCUCGGGGGUGACACGUGUGAGGUGGCACCAGGUGGCACCGGGUGGCCUUGGUGGCCUCCUGAGAGCACCUGGAGGGACCCAGGGGGUGGCACCGACAGGACUUGGUCACCUGGCAUGGGGGUGACACAAGUCAGGUGGCACCAGGUGGCACUGGGUGGCCUCGGUGGCCUCCUGGAAGCACCUGGAGGGACCUGGUUUGGUGGCACUGACAGGACUUGGUCACCUGGCAUGGGGGUGACACAAGUGAGGUGGCACCGAUGGGAUUCGGUCACCUCCCGGGGACCAGGGGGACACGUGUGAGGUGGCACCAGGUGGCACUGGGUGGCCUUGGUGGCCUCCUGGAAGCACCUGGAGGGACCUGGUUUGGUGGCACCGCUGGGAUUUGGUCACCUGGCCCGGGGGUGACACGUGUGAGGUGGCACCAGGUGGCACCGGGUGGCCUUGGUGGCCUCCUGGAAGCACCUGGA